GUUCUGAACGAGAAAUUCUGAGGCAAUCGUUAUAGAAUCAGCAAUUUGAGUCGUGUGGUGAGCAUCUUGUGACUUAGAAUGGCAUGUAACCAAAGCCAGGCAGAUAUUUUAUUCUCUACUAUGGUGCAGGAGAGGAUUUUGGCUGGCCACUGAAUACUUGUAUUAACAUUCUCAAAUUUAACCAUUGUUUUUUAUGUUGUAACAUGAGGAUUUUAUUCUAUAUUGUAACAUCUAUGUUUUUAUAUGAUUGCUGGAUGAGAUCCUUUUUGUUCCUAUGAUGAUGUUUGUAGCAGAUAUCGACAUGUGUACUUGCUAGUUGCUGCUAAUAGACUUAAAAAAAAAACUGUGAUCUUGAUGAAGGGAUAUUGAACAAUCCAUUGUAAAAACAAAGCAACAAGCAGCAACAUCUAAGUAGAGUGAAGUUUUAACUUUGGGUCCGUUUAGCAUGGGGAAAAACAUGAUUUGGUGCAUCUUGGACGCAUGUAAAAUACUGGGAAUCUUUACUUUGAUCCGGUCAAAAGAUUCCAUCUACAAUAGAUAUGGCUACAUAGUAUUUCUCCCAUUUAAGAUUUAUUUUUAUUUUUAAAAGCAAAAUACAGUUGUAUCCAAGUGGUAUUUGUUUUGUCUUUUCUUUUGCUUAAAAUUUAAACAAAAAAACUCGCAAAAUCUCAUUAUAUUUUUUUAGAAAGGAUAUUUCGGAUUCUUUUGGUUUUUUUUUUUGAAACAAUCCUAAUACCUUUAUGAUUGAAUUUAAUAUUUGAAAAAUAUUUGCCAGAUUCUUUAUAAAGUAAAUUACUUCUAUUAUUGGAUAUAUUUGAAUAUUUUUUAACACAAUCUUCUCACAAUAUUGUCUUUCAAAAUAUGGCAAGACGUUUGUAAAAUAAAUAUAUAUAUAUACAGGGUAAGACAAUUGAGUAGUGGCAAGACAAAACAAGAUUUUUCGUUUUGAAAAAAUAGAAGAUGUCAGGGAAGAGACCUCAUCGUUCAACAAAAGAAACAACAAACACAUCAAAUGAUGGUGAACAAAGAUUUAAGGGUGGUAAAUUUGAAUUGAAAUUUAGUUUGAACGUGACUUCGCAUGAUUUAAGGGUUUGUUUUGUAUGUAAGAAAAACAUGGAUGAUAAAACCAUCUACAUGUACAGGUACAAGUUAAUUAUUGAAUUUUAUUUAGUUAGAAUUAUUAUUAUUUGAGUGAUUUAUUAGUUGAUUGCGAUCGUUAUUUGUUUCCACUUUUUUUUAACGACAAAUAUAUUAUUAUUGAAAAAAAAUUAUUGCUGAGCUUGAACCCGCGUUUUUCGGGUGAGAGCCGAAUAUCCUGACCAACUAGACUACAACGAUUUGUUCUUUCCAUUCCUUAUUCUUGUUAGUUUGAACAAAAUUUGAAUUCGCAAUAUCAUGCAUCUUAUUUUCCUCAAUUCCUUCUGGGCACCUUUUGAUUUAAUUAUUAUUAACUCUGUCACCCAAUUCUACUCAAUGUUUUUUAUUUAUUUUUAAUUUAGUGAUUACAUUAUAUAGUGAAUGUAGGGUAAAAGUUCAAUUCUUAUUUUACAAUGGUAUCCGUUCAAUUUACUUUAUUUUAUUUAUAAAUGCGAGUAAAUAUUAUGUUGUUGAUGUGAAAACAAAUGAACAACACAAGACGUAAUAAGUUAGUUUUGAAUUUUUGAUGCUUCACUUAUAAAGUAAAAUAUUUUUAAAUAAUUAGAAAUCCAAUUGAACUUUUCUUUUUAUUAGGGACCAAUUUUUAAGAUUAAUUUUGGUUUGUGGCGUUUCAUAAUUCAUUUGCUAAAAAUGUAAUAUUGUAAAAUAAUUAGAGCUCAGUUACACUUUUUUUGUUGUUGACAAAUACGCUUUACUCAAAAUAUUUAACACACCUUUUGUUGAAAUAUUUAUUUUAAUUUUUUGUUCGUUUCAGGAGCAAUGGUUUCUGCUCGGAGCGAUGUCGUACACUACAGAUGUACUACGAUGAUGAAGUAAUAAAGGAGUCUAUGGGAAAGAAGAGGACAAAUAUCUCAACCUCAUCGGAAUCUCAAAAAUAAUCAAAUAUGUUUUAUUUAUGAUACCUCAAUCUUUGCUUCGUCAACUUUAGUUUUGCAUUUUAUUUUAUUUUCUAUUUAAGGGAGGAAUACUAUUAUUAUUUAUUUAGGAAAAAGUAUUAGACUCUAUAUUUUUCAAUGGAGAUUUAAUUUCGGUCUUUUCUAAAAUAUUUGUUUAUUUAAUUUUUGCUUGUAUAACUAGAAAAAUAAUACUUACGCAUAUUUUUUUAUUUUUGCCUUAACUAAACAUUUGGUUCCUUACGUUUAUUUUAUGUUUCGAUUUGGCCCCUUACAUCUAAAAAAUAUCAAUUUAGUCUUUUACGUUUUCAUCGUUUGCAUUAGUUAGUACUUUCCGUCAGUUUUGUCACAUGUGGCAGACGGUUUGUAUAUGUGGACAGACAAUUUGUAUGUAUGAUCAGACACGUUGACACUUUGAUACUUUGACACAUGUAUAGUUCAAACGUUGUUAGUUGAAAAACUAACGAAAAGGAGUAACUAAUGCAAAUAGUAAAAACUUAAGAGACCAAACUUUUCAAUUAUACAAUUUUAUUUUGUACAAUUUUGACCUUGGACAGUUAGCCUUUUUUAUUUCGUAGAUUACCCUUGAACAAUUGUGUGUAGUUUAUCCAACCGACAUGAGUAAAUCUAGUUUUACUUAACUCUGACUGACUUUAACACUCUUCCUAAUGAAUAAGGGGUCCGUUUAGCCUGGGGGAAAACAUGAUUUUGUGCAUCUUGUACCCAUGUAAAAUACUGGGAAUCUUUACUUUGAUCCGGUCAAAAGAUUCCAUCUACAAUAGAUAUGGCUACAUAGUAUUUCUCCCAAAGGUAUAUUAUAUUUUCAGAAAAUUUAAUCUAGAAUUAUUGUUGUCAUGUUUUCGUAUCUGAUCCAGCUAUCUCUUGAACCACUCCCACUGUUGCAAGACCAAUACAUUUCUCGAUUAAUCCUUCAAACAGCAGAUUCUGAUUUCUAAACAUUACCAAUCCAAAAGUUAGAUUGUAAAAAUAAAAACGAAUUGGGGACUGAGGAAUUGUAUUUCACACUUACAAUUAGCAGAAUCAAAGAACUCACUUUAUAUAAUUACUGAAUCAACGAAUUGACGGAUCCUAAUUCAAGUAUUUUUUUACUAAAAAAAUGGAUUAAUCCUAAUUCAACUAUUUUUUUACUAAAAAAAGAAAGUAUUUUUUUACUUAAUAAUUAGUCGCUCCGGACACAAUUAUACGCAAAAAAACCACUUUUUAGGUUUAUUGAAAAAGUAAUGUAUCUAGUAAAUAAUAUAGACUGGAUACAUUAUUUUUUCAAUGAAUCUAAAAAGUGGUUUUUUGCUUAUAAUUGUGUCUGGAGGGAGUAAGUAAAAUUAUUUAAGUCAUUAAGUUCGCGCCAAUAAUCUAUGAAGCACGGACACGGCGAAACGACACGGAUACGACGACACAAAUACAGGAGGACAACAACACUGCUACAUAUUCAUAAAAGAUAUAAAUUUAAUCAAUAUAUAUAGUUAGGAUCCAUUGACACUAGGUGUCAAACUUUAUUUUGAACACCAAAUCUAAUCCAUCCAUUUAAGUUAAUCCAAAGGUCUUAAAUCAUUCACUUACUAAACUCACAUGAUAUCCUUUAUGUGAUUUGCUCCUUAAUUAAUUUGUUACCGAAAAAUCCGAUGACCAUAUCCCUUCCUUUGUUUUUUUCUUGAACAAUAUCUCUUAACGAUGCUUAUGAAUCUCUUGUUUUGAUCAUCAUCACAAGUCACAACUACCACAUAUCAAAUAUUGGAAUCUUGUACCAAUAAUAAUUCAUAUAGUCAUUUUUUUGGUUCGAUCGAUUGCUAGUUUUAUUUUUCAUUCCUUUGUGGAAGCAAUUUGGAAGAAUCCAGCUUUUUACCAGCUUCCUUGAUUUAAGAAAAAAAUAUCGAUCAUCAGCAAGGUGGAGCGAUGAAUUAUAUUGUUACCCUCUAGGAAGAUUAAAUGUGCAAAAGAAAGAUGGAUACAAAAAAUUAAAAUAAAUUAAUUCAUAAUUUUGAUGCAAAAUUUGUACUUUAUUGAAAUUUGUACCGUACACGAGAGAAGAGAGGUCACAUGUGAGAGCUGGAAGAAAUUCCAUGGGAAAGAUGGACAAAGUUAAAAAAACGAUUCAGACAAAUAUUGAACGAAAACUGAACACAGUGAAUUAGGGUUUUUUUUUUAUGAGGACAAUGAAUUAGGAAUUUUAUUGAGAAAAAACAGAUAAUUAGGAAUUAAUUCUCUAGAGAUACAAUCACAUGAUAUUUUAAGGGAAUUGAUCACAACCAUUGGAUUAAAAAAAAAGAGUGGAUUAGAUUUGGUAUCAAACUAAAUUUUAUUUGAUGUUUUCUCUCCCGAUUCCCCGUAUUUCUUUUAUAUCCCCUGAAUUUUUAAUUUCGCCCUUGAAAAAACUUCGGUUUAUAGAAANNNNNNNNNNNNNNNNNNNNNNNNNNNNNNNNNNNNNNNNNNNNNNNNNNNNNNNNNNNNNNNNNNNNNNNNNNNNNNNNNNNNNNNNNNNNNNNNNNNNNNNNNNNNNNNNNNNNNNNNNNNNNNNNNNNNNNNNNNNNNNNNNNNNNNNNNNNNNNNNNNNNNNNNNNNNNNNNNNNNNNNNNNNNNNNNNNNNNNNNNNNNNNNNNNNNNNNNNNNNNNNNNNNNNNNNNNNNNNNNNNNNNNNNNNNNNNNNNNNNNNNNNNNNNNNNNNNNNNNNNNNNNNNNNNNNNNNNNNNNNNNNNNNNNNNNNNNNNNNNNNNNNNNNNNNNNNNNNNNNNNNNNNNNNNNNNNNNNNNNNNNNNNNNNNNNNNNNNNNNNNNNNNNNNNNNNNNNNNNNNNNNNNNNNNNNNNNNNNNNNNNNNNNNNNNNNNNNNNNNNNNNNNNNNNNNNNNNNNNNNNNNNNNNNNNNNNNNNNNNNNNNNNNNNNNNNNNNNNNNNNNNNNNNNNNNNNNNNNNNNNNNNNNNNNNNNNNNNNNNNNNNNNNNNNNNNNNNNNNNNNNNNNNNNNNNNNNNNNNNNNNNNNNNNNNNNNNNNNNNGAGUGGAUUAGAUUUGGUAUCAAACUAAAUUUUAUUUGAUGUUUUCUCUCCCGAUUCCCCGUAUUUCUUUUAUAUCCCCUGAAUUUCCAAUUUCGCCCUUGAAAAAACUUCGGUUUAUAGAAACCGAAGUUUUUUUUUGUCUUGAAAACAAAUUUUGAUUUCUAAAAACCGAAAUUUACUCUGAAUUUGCAUUAGAAAAAAUUCGGUUUCUGAGAACCGAAUUUUUCUGCAAGGACAAAAUUAGAAUAUUGGGAUAUAAAAGAAUCACGGGGUCGGAAGAGAAAACAUCUUUUUAUUUUUAUAUUGACCCAAAAUUCAUUUUAAGGUCCAUGGUAUAUAUGGCCUUCUUAAGGUCCAGUCCACUUUCUUAAGGUUCAGUCCACUAAUCUGGUAACAAAAAAAAAAGAAAGAAAGAAUCAUGUAUGGUAGUUUUACAUGCACCUCUGUCCUUGCAAAUUUAUCCUAAAAGGUAGCAAGCAUUUAAUCUCAGCCAUCCAAAUAAAUUUAUAUUAUAUCCAUGGUAAUCAAAUGCAUUGGUCCAAACUUUUUGUUAUGGACUGACAAAAACCAAACUGAAAAAAAAUGUGACUUGCAAGGAGGGCUUUUAACACACACGAGUUUAGCGAGGUGAAAUAAAAUAAUAUAUUUUUGUCAUUAGGAAAAAAAAGAACUUUCUCAAUUCUCAACACGUGAUUCACUUUUUAUUUCAGGUUAUCUCAUGUACAGGAGUUUAUAAAAACUGGCGAAAUUUAACAUGCUUGAUUAACAAAGUUUAUAAGUAUUUGGUAAAUUGUCCAAGAGAGUUUAUAAAAAAAAAUUAUGAAUUGUGGUUGUAAGUUGUUUUCAACUUAUUUAUUUCUAACAAGUUCUUUAAGAUAGUUUUAUAAAAAAAACAAGAGGUAAAGACCUAAGAGAAGUAUAAAAUUGAUGUUUUUUAGAGAAGAGCCGUAAGUCUUCUAUUGCUUGGAAAUCUAUUUGUCAACCUAAGCGUAAUGGUGGUCUGAAUUUCAUUGAUCUUGAGGUUUGGAAUCGUGUUUCCUUACUGAAGCUGCUUUGGAACCUGUGUGGCAAAUCAAAUAGCCUUUGGGAGAAAUGAGUCCAUAUGCGUACUACAUUAAAAACCAACACAUCAUGGAGGCUUGUAUUUCGGAGUCUGCCUCCUGGAUAAUGAAGGUUGUUAUGCAGCAACGAGUGUGUAUCCACCAGAAUCAGGUGUGGAAAGAGAUGAUGAAUGUCCAAAAGUUUAGUAUGAAGAAGAUGUACCUGACUAUUCAUGAGAGAUCUCAAAGUGUUGCUUGGAGAACCUUGUUAUAUGGAAACGUAGCCCGUCCUAGAGCUCUUGUAAACCUUUGGCUUGUUUGUAAUGAGAGGUUGGCUACUUGUGACAGAUUACAUAAAUAUGGCUUAAUUGACACAACCCAUUAUUGCUUCUGCAAUGCUAAUGAAACGCAGCAACACCUUCUCUUUAAUUGCAAUGAAACAAGGAGUAUUUGGAGAAAAGUUCUUGAGUGGAUUCAAUUUGAUCAUUAUCCUUUUGGCUGAUGUCAAGAAGUGAAGUGGAUUAUGCAGCAGACUAAAGGAAAAGGAGGUCGUGCUAAGAUCCUAAAAUUGGCUUUUACUGAAAGUGUUUAUGAGAUUUUAAGGUAUAGGAAUGAUGUCAGCUUUGAUAAUGCUAUCCAUAACAAGCAUACCGUAGAGAACAUAAUUGAUACUAUUGUUUAUAGAGAUUGGACUAAUAGGAACUUAAGAACACACCUAGCUAAACUCAUGAUGUAAAUAGGCUUUCUCUGGUUGUGUUUGUCGUUUUUUUGAUACUUUGGGUUGGAUCCUAGCGAUCGCCUUGUACCUAUGGUUUUUGAAUUAAUCAAAGUAUUUUUAGGUUCAAAAAAAAAGUUCUUUAAAACUCUUAGAGAGAGAUUGUUACCCAUUUGAGUUCCACAAGAUUCGAAAGAUUAAUCAUCACAGUUGUGCGCAGAAGAUAUCUCAUUUAUUCGAAAGAUUAGUCACCGACUUUACUUUUAUGUAUAGAUUUCAUCAACUUCUUUGGUGUUACUAGAUUGGAUGCUUCAUAUUUUUAUGUGUAGAUUUCAUCAACAAAUAAAAAUUAUUGUUCAAGUAAAAUUAUAAUUAAGGGUAAAAAAUCUAAAAUAUUAUUAAAAUUGAUCGGGACAAAUUUUGUGACUUGGUAGCAAUUAUUGUUAAUAUAUUGUUAUAAUCUUUUUAUUGUUUCUGUUUUUUCUAUAAAUAUUUUUUUACUAAACUUUAUAUAAUUUUUUAUUGCUCUUUUGUUUUACUUUAUUCCUGUCUUUAUACAUAUAUUUUUAAUAGAGUGAAAUUAUGAAAAAUAUAAAAUUUAGAAUAUUAUUAAAACUAAUAAUGACAAAUUAGUAAAAGUAGUAGUAAUCAAUUAUAAACUUUCUAUAAUCUUUUUAUUGUUUUUUUUUCUAUAAUUUUGUUAGAGUAAAGUUUUAAUGUGUCCACAAAUUGUGUUUAAUUAAAACAAAUUAAUAAAUAUUAUUUAUGAAUUUAUCGUAAUUGUUCAUCUCAAUAAAUAUUCCAAUACAUAUCUAAAUAAGAUGUGUACCGAACCAUUCACAUUGUGCCGGUGUUUGCUUAUGCACUAAGCUUUUAGUUAAACUGUUUUCUCAAAGAGGACUUAUAAAUGAUAAACGCAGUUAAACAAAGUCUUAAAUAUUCGACUUACCUACCUACCCACUUUUGUCCGUGGCUACAAUAAAACCAACCAAAACAAAACCAAACCAGUGGUAUAGUAUAGUAUAUUAUACUACUCCUAGUACUGAAUCAGUCUCAUAUUUUUCGUAAUCUCCGACAUGAAAGGUGUUGGGUCAAUCCUCUUCUUGUUCUUCUUCUCAUGUUACAUAAUCGCUGUUUUCUCACAAGCAAUACCAAUAACCACUCAUCAACCUCAACCUAAUCAAUCUUUCAAGCCCAACCAAACCCAACAUCAGGUAUAUAUAUUUCUAUUUAUAGCCCUUUUACUUUUUAAUUACUCCACUUUUCAAAUUUUAAUUAACCAAAUACAGGAAUAUAAAGUUGAAAAUACCCUUCAAUUCUUAAAUACUAGAGUAAAACAUUGUACUAGUAUAUAUCUUAAUUUGGAUUAGUGCUUCCAAAUUAAGGUUUAAUUGCUAUGAUUAGUUUCUACUAUAGAAGCAUUUUCAGAUCUUGUUAUUGUAAAAUCUGAAAUUGAAUAUGCAUGUUGUUGUUGUUGCAGAGUGCUGUUGGUAGUAGCACUUGUUCUUACACAGUGGUCAUAAAGACAAGCUGCAAUUCUCCCGCAUAUACUGGAGAUCGUAUCAGUCUUUCAUUUGGUGAUGCUUAUGGCUAUCAGGUUCCAUUUUUCAACACAUACUAUCAAUAUUUUAUUUCUGCCAAAAUGAAAUUAACCAAGUUAAUCAAUUUACAUUAUUAGAAAUGUUUUGAUUUUAUUCUUAUUAGAAAUGUUACACUAUAGAAUAUAGACCAUAAGUCCUAGCUCACCUGAAAAAAGUCAAAAUUGUUUGGUUGGACACCUUCGGUCAGAUUUGAAUUCGGGACCUUGUGUGUGAGUUUAGUGGCGUUUGUCACUUUGUCUAUAAACAAAAAAAAAAAUGUUACUCCCCCCAAUUACUAUUAUAAGCAAAAAAAUCACUUUUUAAAUUCAUUGGAAAACUAGUGUAUUUUGCUUGUAAUAGUGACCAAAGGGGGAGUACACUAUAGUCCCGUACAAUGGCGAAGCCGGACCCUAGUUUAGAGGUUCAAGCUUUUGAGUUAUUGAGCUUUUUGUGUUAGCAGUGAGGGAAAAAAACUAGGGGUUCAAAAUGCAAAAUAUAUAGUUAUAUUUGCAUUUUAAGUUUAAGGGGGUUCAGUUGAAUCCCCAUAAAAAGGCUAGCUCCGUCCCUGAUCCUCUUCGUUCAAUUGAUAGUUACAAAGACAUUUGAUUUGUUGGGCACGGGUUCGAGCACGUGAUUCUUCAUUUCUCCACGCGUUCUCAACACUAAGAUACUAGGAUGCGACAAGGAAAAAAAAUGUUACACAAUAAAAAAUAUUUUGACUAAAUAUUACACUAUAAAAUUGGUAUUGAUUGAAUUUUGAUAUAGAAUAAAUUUUAAUGAAUAUGUUGGAUAAUGAAACAGGUUUAUGUUCCAAGAUUGGAUGAUCCAUAUUCAGGGACAUUUCAGGGUUGCUCUACAGACACAUUUGAUAUAUACGGACCAUGUACAUACCCAAUAUGCUACCUGUAUUUAUACAGAACAGGAUACGAUGGUUGGAAACCAGAGAGUGUGACAGUAUAUACCUAUAACUACCAACCUGCUACAUUUUACUACAACACUUUUAUCCCUAAUGGUAUUUGGUAUGGUUUUGAUUUUUGUCGUGGUUAUUUAUCAUCCACUACCACUUCUGCUGCACUCUAAUGGACCUUCUUAGUUUGUUGAUAAAUAAGGGAAGUACUUUUCCCACCCCCAUAUAUGUUAGGCUUAGUGGGCUUCUAUAAGCCCUUCCUGUGGGGGUUUUCUAUAUGUUUGUAGGCUCUACUGUCUGUAUUCCACAUUAAAUUAUGCCAUAUGAUAUUUUGAGAUACUUGGUUGAUUUUGUUCAUGUAUAAAGUCUUGGUAAUAGCAUUAGACUCGACUGGUUAAUGAUUUUUUUCUAUGAUGAAUCCUUCAAAAUGAUCCGAGUUUGCCAUAGGAGAAUCUAUAUUGUAUCCUACAAGUUUCCAACAAAGAUUAAUUACUGUCAAAAGGUAAUCAAUUAAUUUCUGUCAAACGGCAGUAAAAAUUUCGUAUUAUGUUGGAAGAGGUCAACCCCUUACAUGGAUCUUAGUGGCCUAGUGGGGGAUUAGGCUCUGCAGUUGCACGCGGAUGACACUCUUGGUUUAAAAAACAUAAAAAUUGUACUAUGUUUAAAAAAGUGAUAAAUUAUGAUUGGAUAUUCAUAAAGAUAUGAUUUCUAUUAUCAUCAAUCUUUUUAGAUUAUAAAUUACGGUUAGAUAUUCAUAAAGAUAUGAUUUUUUAAUGAAUAAAUGAUAUUAUAUUUUUUAUUCAUAUUUUCUUAUAAUAUGCAUCUUUUCUAUUAAUUAUUUUGUUUUCGACUGAAUCUCUUGUGAAAUUGAGAUUUGUCCUCUCUACAAAAUCUCAAUCUUUUUCCGUAAAAAAAAUCUCAAUCUUUUGUUUAUAUAUUUUGUAAAGAUUAAAAGUAGGAAUAUAUAUAACUAUAUAAGUAGUUGUGCGUGCAUUGAUUUUCUUCGGACACAAGCCACUUCACUCACCAAACCAAUGGCUGAUCAAGUUCAUCCAAACACCUUAUCAGUCUCAAGCAACUCACAAACGAUGUCGUCUGAGGAAUCCGCAUUGAACUCUCAAACAACGUCGUCUGAGGAAUCCACGACUUCCAACCCUUACAACCCUUUCCCAGCGCCAGGAACCUAUGUCAUCCAUGUUCCACAGGCCCAUAUCUAUCAGUGUCCAGAGAAUGGUCAAUGUUACACCAACUACACUCGUCAGAAAAGUCGCCAGAGCCAGUGUUGUUGUCUCAUCAGCGUCCUAUUCACUCUGGUUGUGCUCCUUGGCAUUUACGCCGGUGUUUUUUACCUGAUUUUCCGUCCAGAAUCACCUCAUUAUGCAAUUGAUCAUAUUGAUAUCAAGGGAAUGAACCUCACUUCAUCGUUGUCUACGAUUUCACCAGAGUUUAGCCUCACUAUUAAGAUUGAUAAUGGUAACGACAAAAUUGGAAUGUACUAUGAAAACGAUAUCAACGUUGAAAUAUUUUACAAAGACGUCAUGCUAAGUAACUGCGUGAUGCAGGCGUUUUAUCAACCGUCAAAUAAUAUGACAGUUUUUCAAACGGUGUUGAAGGGUAAUAAUGUGGACCUUAGGAGAUCCGAUCGAAGGGGGUUGGUGAAUGCCGUGACAAAGCGGAGCGUGCCGUUAAGUUUGAAGCUGAGAGCACCGGUGAAAAUCAAACUAGGAUACAUUAAGACGUGGAAGAUUAGAAUUAAGGCUGACUGUGAUGUGACCGUAGAUCGGUUAACGGGGCAUGUUAAGAUUGUUCACAAGCAUUGUAAUAACGGAUGGGAUCUUUGGUUAUAAAAUUCAAAAUCAUAAUCAUACUUUAAUUUGGAUUUAGGGAUAUAAUUAGUUAUGGGAUGUAGUUUUUAGUGUUUUAUCUGCGCAGAUACUAUUUGUGUUCUUUCUCUGCUAUGUUUGUUUUUAACAUAAUAUUUUUUUUAUUUUUAAUACUAUUUGUGUUUUUAUUUUUUCAUUGAAGAUAAUUAUUUUCAAGACGUCUGUUUUACCAUGCUACAAAGCUUUUUUUUUUUCUUAAUAGCAAAAAUGUAUAUAUAAUAAAAAAUAGAAUUGGUACUAGAGGUAUUUUUAUCCACCUCGGUAGGAAAAAUACAAGUAGUACUCAAAUCAAUCAUAAGCCAAACCAACUAACUUAUGGUAUUCUAAAAUACAAUAUCAAACUCAACAAAUAUUAUCGAACUAUACAAUCAAUUGAAUUAACACACCAUUGAUAAAAUAAGCAUGAAUCAGCAUGACCAACUAAACUUUUUUGACAGCAAUCACCAUGAAACUAAUUGAAUCUUAUAAAAUACUUCAUUUGCUUCUACCGCCUUUGCCGAAAAGAUUAUUUCUUUAUGUGUUCACCAGAGCACCCAAAUAACUGAAUGUCAAACUAAUUGCACACCCUUUGUUACUUUGCUUUCCUUUCCUAUACACAGUUAGGAAGCACGCCAACUGUGAUGACAUUGUUGCCGGCCGGCGUUACCAAACCACCGGUGAACCUUCGAAAGCAUAUCCCAAGCAAACGAGCAAGACACACACAAUUCGGCCUCCCCCUUUGGAUCAUGCUCCUAUGUGCAAAUUUUGCUCUCAUUGGGAGACGACCAAGUAAAGCUUACCAAGAAAACACAAUCAUGUUCGACGUUGCCCAACUCCUUCAUAUAUGUGUAAAUAAGAAUAUAUACAACAUCUUAUGUAUUAUGUUCCAAUUUUAAGUGCGCCAUAUUGCAUAUAGAUUAGUGAUAAAUGAAUAUUUUAAGAAAUUAACCUUAUUUGAUAAGAAAGUGAGGACAAUAACAAUUAGUCCGUACAAGUAAAAAUAUUUUCUUCAUAUAAAAGCCAACAAUUCUCAUUGCAUUGAAGUCAUGCAUCUUUCAUUCCCUUAUUAAGGGCCGACCAAAUUGAUCAUUUCCUUUCCAAUGUCUCUAUAAGAUAAUUAACGUGCUUUCAAAUCAAAGUUGAUCAAUCAACUUUUUCAGCUCAACUACGUUAACAAUCUUUUCAUCUAUUUACCAAAGUUUACCAUUGAGUAUAAUUUAAGAAGCAAAUUAAUUUAGAUAUACGUACAGAAAGAUAACGUAGAUAUGUAUAUUUUCCUCAUGUGCUUAACAAGGACUUAAAUUUCCAUAAGCCAUGUGUUUUUCCAACUAGCUUGUGUAGAGUUUAAUUUUCCACAACCCUUUAAUAUGUCUCUAUACGUACAUUAUGCUGACUAAGUUAGUAUCUUGUUGAAAAUAAACUUUAUAUGUAAGUUGUUUUUAUUUUAUCAAUAAAGAUAAGCCAAUUAUUUAACUUCUAAAAUAUGCUUCCUAAUAAUGCAAUGCUUCUAUCACCCUUAUAAAUAGAAGCUCAAUGUGAAAUAUGUUACAUAGUCUUUGAGGGUGUGAAAUAUUUGUCAUUGGAUUCAAAAGCACAACAAUGUUUCAUACAAUGGUUAGGAUCUCUCAUAGUAUCCAUUUUAUCAUUUUUCACAUUUUGGUUUUAAUGUCUAUAGCACUUACAUUUCUGAUCAAAUGUAUGUUUGAUGUACGAUUGAUUCAACACUGAUAAUGUGAUUAAAUUCAAUUAAUUGAUUUUCUUAAAUUAUUAUCAGUGUUUGCGUGUUAACGUCAAUGUUAUGUUGGGUGUUCAUAGAUUUUAAUCAAACAUUACUUUCAUUAUUAUGUUUGCAAACUUGCAAUUAUUAUUUUAAUCAAGAGUACUUACUAUAAAAUGUUAAUUUCAUGCAGGAGUGUUUUUUCAAAUUUUUAGUGAUUAUGAGUAUGCUUAAACUCGGAUUGAGUAUCACAACAACUUUCAAUGUGUUGCAUUAUGGAGCAGUUGGAGAUGGAAAAACCAAUGAUUCCCCUGUAAAUUAAUUAUUCUCUAACCAUUUUAGCUGCCUAAAAAUACUUUGCUGCAUGUGUAACACUAAUCUGAAUAAUUUAAUGUUCAGAGUUUCAUAUUUCCUCCGAUCUAAUAUAUAAGCAAAUUUGUUAUUCACAUUCAUUGAAUAAUUAAUGUAUUUUGUCUAUAAUAUAAACCAGAUACAAGAAGGGUUCCGGAGAGUAUUCGAGAGGAGCGACCACACAUCAAAAUUUUAGGACACCAGUUUUUUUUACUUAAUGUGUGUAUAUGUGCGUGCAUGCACUCGUGUGUGCAUCCGUGUGUGUGAAAAUAGACUUGACUCUUAUGAUCUUGACAAUAAAAUCAAUUUGAAGAAUGAAAAGUUAUCGGAGAGAUUUUAACAAUUGAAAGUACAAUUUUUAACUUUUUUUUCACAUUAUAUAUUUAUAAUUAUAUGACUUAUAAAAAAACGAGGUACCAAAAUUAUAACUUGCCUAGGGCAUAUGCUAAUACUAUUUGUGUAAAUUGAUAUAUUUCAACAGGCCUUUCUAAAAGCAUGGAAAGAUGUGUGUCAGAGCAAGUCAAGCACAUCUCAUUUGAUCAUACCAGCAGCCAAGACAUUUUUAUUGAGGCCAAUAACAUUUAGUGGUCCAUGUAAAUCUAAUUAUAUUUACAUUGAGGUACUUCUUUUUAAUAUUUUUGCAAUGCAGAACCUUAUCAUAAGUGAAGUUUUGGAACAAUUGGUCGGUGGCUUAAAACUUAUAAGCAUAGUAAACAUUAACUUGAGUAAUGUUUCAACUUUCAACCAAAAUUCCUUAUAAAAGAAUUCAGCCAAAAUGCAUUGAAAAUAUGGAUACUUAUUUGAUAAAAUUGAUGUGUUAUUAUUUUAAACCAUAUUAUUAGUGUGAAGUAUCUAUUGAUUUUACUGAUUACUAAUCUCAAUUGAAAAAUCUGACUGACCCAACUUUAACGGGGUCUACUCUUUCAACCAUAUUUUUUUCUCAUCAUGAGACUCAAACUAAAAACCUGUGAUGUGUUACUUUGUACUAAAUUUAGUUUUUUUUAAGUAUACAUUGUAAAAAAUAUAUAUAUAUAAUUUGUCACAAAAAAAUAAGCGAUAUUAACAAAUAUAGUGUGACAUAAACGAUAGAUGUUUGAAACUUUAACUAUUUGGUUUAGAUUCAAUAUCUAUUGGAUUUAUGACUUUGGUAUAUGAAAAAAAACACAGAAAUAAAAUGUCGAUUUUUAAAUAAAUUUCAAUUAUUUUGAAAGAUUAGUCUCCACAUUUAGAAAUAUCUUAGUUUUAAAUGAAAUAAAAAAUUAUAUCAAUUUUUUAGUUUCUAAUUUUUACUUUUCACUACAAAAGUCAAAAGCUCAGUUUUAGAUAAGUCAAAUUCAUUAAAAGUAUGGAGUAUAGUAUUACUUUACAAUGAAAUCUUAAAAUAAAUAAAUAAAUAAAAAAAUCCACAAAGUAGAACAGCCUCUAUUUAGUUGACUAGUACUAUUUUAUUAAUUUGAGAUAUAUUUGAAGUAACAUAUUUAGUAGUGUACUUUUGUGAACUCAGCUUUCAGGAAACAUUGUUGCACCUCAAACAAAAUCAGAAUAUUCAGGAUCACAUUUAAACACAUGGAUUGGCUUCUCAUUUAUCAAUGGUUUAAUUAUCAAUGGAAAAGGAACAAUUGAUGGUAGAGGUUCUAUGUGGUGGAAACAACCUUGCAUAGGAAAUCCAUCACCUGUAUGUAAAUAUCUAUAUCAUUUUUUUUGUCUUCAAUUAAUAAUGUUACUUAAAAUCUUAAAUAAUAUAAUGGCCUCAUUUUUAUGAAUUUUUUUUCCUUUUCAGGGGACAACUUGCCGUCCACCAACAGUAAGUAUUUGCUGAUUGAUCCUUGCAAACUUAAAUUUUAGCUACAUGGUUUCUUGAUGCAUAUGCAUAACAAUAAUAAAAAAAAUAAAAAUAAAAAAUCAAUUAAUUGGUUUUUGAAAUGUUUAUAAAAGAAGAAGUCAAGUAGACAUGAGUUCUUGAAAUUAAGAUUCCCUGCUAGCACCAAAUGCACGCAUUCGUGCCGCUAGCAAAUUAGCAACUGUUAUGUCGAGAUCGAAUGGUCCAGAUUUUAAGCUUAGUAUUUUAGAUUAAAAAAUAUCAAAACAACAUUGAACGUCACCAAUGUGCUGACUGCAUGAAUGUGUGUAAUCGAUGACCGCAAAGAAUCUAAAUUUAAAUUCUUGAUGCAUACAUAAAACACGGACAAGUGAACAACAUACACGUCUUCAAUCAGAAGUAUUGGUGUAACAUAUGUUCGAACCUAUUGCUAAUUAGCCAAAAUUGCUAAAGUGACAUUGUUAUCUAAAAACAGUCACAUAAAUGAAUGAACAUAAACACUAAAUAUAGUUGCAAAUUGAGAACAAACACCAUGAUACCAUAUGAAGGAAAAUUAAGUGAAUUAGUAUUAUUAAUUUUUGUGCAUACAUUACAGGCAAUAACAUUGAAUAGAUGCUAUCGGUUUCAAAUAAAAGGAUAUAAAAGUAUUAAUCCAGCAAGAAGCCAUUUAACUCUAACAAGCUGCAAAAAAGGAAUUAUUUCUAACAUUCGUCUAAUUGCUCCUGGAGAAAGUCCUAAUACUGAUGGCAUCGAUAUCUCUUCCUCAAGAGACAUUCAAGUACUUAACUCUUUCAUUGGAACAGGUACAUAAUUAAUUUACAAAAUUUCAAUUUAUAUUAUAUUUUAAUCAUUUUAGUAUAAUAUAUAUAUAUAUAUAUAUAUUGAUUGUGUCUAAAUAAAUUGUAGGUGAUGAUUGCAUUGCUAUUAGUGCUGGAUCAUCAGUAAUCAAAAUUACUGGUAUAACAUGUGGUCCAGGACAUGGUAUAAGGUUAGUAUAUAUAGAACUUUACUAAUUAUGUAAAUGAGUUUGGAAUUUUUAUUUUUAAUUAAAAUGUGCUAGUUUUGUNNNNNNNNNNNNNNNNNNNNNNNNNNNNNNNNNNNGUUACUUUACUUAAUGAUGAAAAUAUAUAUUAAUUUUGUAGCAUUGGAUCAUUGGGGGCACGUGGAGAGAGCGAUAUUGUAGAGGAUGUGCAUGUGAAAAAUUGUACAUUGACUGAAACAUUAACUGGAGUAAGGAUCAAGACAAAGCAGGUAAUUAAUUACUAAUUCACCAAAUAAUUAACAUUAUUGGUUAGAAACUCUUAGUAUUUUAAUUUUUUUUAAAGAGUUUAGCAGUGAAACUCACACACUAAUUAAGUGUCAAGAAACGGAGAAUUGUAUAUUCAAAUCUGCAUUUCAGCGUAUCAAAUAUUUCUGCAGUCUUUUAUCAUAUGAGUUAUAACAGAAUCUAUUAGUAUUUUUUUUAUUAUGGUUUUCCACUAGUAAUUUUGAUCAAAUGACAUGUAAAUUAUUGUAUUUUACAACAGGGUGGAGGUGGAUUUGCUAGGAGGAUCACAUUUGAAAAUAUUAGAUUUAUUAGAGCCCAUAAUCCUAUUAUGAUUGACCAAUUUUAUUGUGUUAAUCAGAUGGUCUGCAAAAACGAGGUAAAACAAGAGAAUGCACCAAUUGGAUUAUUUUUAAAUAUAUGUUAAACUCCCAAAAAUUAAAUUGUAUUUAUACAAGUUGCAUUGUAACAUUUUAUUUUAAUUCAAUGUUAUGUGUAGACUAAAGCAAUCAAGAUUAGUGAUGUAACUUAUAGAGGGAUUAGUGGAACAUCAUUGACAGACAAGGCAAUAAAUUUGAACUGUGACCAGAAUGUUGGGUGUUCCAACCUUGUGUUUGAUCGUGUUUAUGUAAGAUCUGCUGUUCCUAAGAUGAAGGUUUUCUCCUUCUGCCAUAAUGCUCAUGGAAGAGCAUCACACACCAAACCAAUUCUAAAUUGCUUGCUCAAGUAGUUUGAAGUUGACACGUGUCAAAUACCAGAUUGGUCGAAGGUGUCGGUGUUACAUAGCUCUUCCCUUUGAAUUGUUGAAGGAAAAAAAAAAGAAUAGAAGACUUCAAAAUCAAAUUGUUUUUAUUUUUUGUCCUCAAAUCUAGUUGAAUUUCUGUUUUCUUUUUUUAUUUCUUUUCGAAUCUUAGUUAGUUGCUGAUUAUUAGAUUUUAUGUGUGAUUAUUGAAUAAUAAUCCCCGUAUAAUUAUUGUGAGAUUAUUGAAUAAUAAUUUGUGUGAGAUUAUUAAUGUUUCUAUACUUUUGAGUUUUGAAAUUGUAUUGCAGUCUCGUAAAGUUCUCAAUUGUUGAAUGUAUAAAUGUGUUCGGAAGGUGAAAGUCGAAACUCAUUUAACUUGAGAACUUUAAUUAAGAAGUUUCAAAAGAUAUAUGACAUAUGAUCCAAACACUAUUGAGUUAAUUAAAUUCAUUAAGACUAUAAUAUCUUAAAUGAAUAAAGGUGAAAGUAUGAAUUGUUAAAUCAAUAACAUAUAUCAAUCCAUGUGAUAUUUUUUUUACACAAUUUGUGAUCGUAAUACAAUAUUAUAUGGAAAAUGUUAAACAGUACUCCCGAAAUACUAGUUAAACAUAUUAAUAAGAAAAUUUUAUUAAUUAAUAUUAAUGAUAUAAAAUGGGAGUAAUCCAUAAGCUAAUAGGUUUGUUGAUUACUUUAGGUAUGUAAGCUCUACUAUAUUUGACAAUGUAAUAAAUUAUUAUAAAAGGGGCUAUAGAAAACAAAACAAAAAAGUGAAAAAAUACAAAUUAUUAUAUAAGGGAGAAAAUGAAUUACCUAAUUUAACUGAUAUCCAACCCAAAGAAGGGAGGAUUCGUUCAUUCCUCCAUUCCUAUGCAUUGGCAAUUGGCAACAAAACAACCUAUUUCUGUUUAUGUGUCUUUUGUCUGUGCAUGUUUGUUACAAUCAUCAUAACCUCCCAUGGGGAAAAAGCCGUUCUCCUCCGACAUUGAGGCGGCUCGUUAUCCCCCGCCACCACCGCCUUCUUUCUACAUGCAACAGCCAAGGCAAUGGUUCUCAUGGUUGGUGCCACUCAUUUUUAUAGCCAAUAUUGCUAUGUUUGUGUAUAGUAUGUAUGUCAAUGAUUGUCCUGCCUAUUUGAAUGAAGAUGUUUGCCUUUUCUAUGAAUAUUUGGGAAGAUACUCUUUUCAACCUUUCAAUGAAAACCCUCUCCUCGGCCCUUCCGUCCGCACGUGAGAAUCUUUCUCUCCCUCUCAAUUCCUCUCUACAUAAUCAUCAUCAUCAUCAUCAUCAUCAUCAUUUUAACAAUCACACAUACAUAGUAUUUUAACCCGUGCAACGCAUGAGGAAAUAAUUAUGAUUCAAUAUACAUAACCGUUGUAAUUUGAUAGCUCUUACAUUUAAGAUUAUAUCGAAUGCAUAUCCUGAAUUACUUGUAGGGUAAGCAACAUAAGACAUAAAACGAAAAUGCUUACAAUACAUGCAUGCAUUAGAAAGGAAAAGAAGAAAUGAAAGAAAAGCAAAAAUGUUAAUUAGUUUCAUCUUCUGCAGGUUGAGGCUAUUAGGAGCACUUGAAAAGGAUCUUGUGGUGGGUGAAAAUGAAGCAUGGAGGUUCUUUACUUGCAUGUUUCUUCAUGCAGGAGUUAUACAUGUACUUGCCAAUAUGUUUAGUCUUUUAUUCAUAGGAGUUCGCCUUGAGAACGAAUUUGGAUUUCGUAAGCAUAUAUAAAUGAAUUUCAAUAUUAUUUUUUCAAGCUGAAACUCUUUUGUUAUCUGUUUUUUUAUGUAUAAUCUCUUUAACUUCGCAGACAAAAUUGGAAUAUUAUAUCUGCUUUCUGGUUUUGGUGGAAGUUUGUUAUCAAUUUUGCAUUUGAGAGAUGCAACAGUACCAAAUACCAUAUCAGUUGGCGCAUCAGGUGCACUUUUCGGACUUUUGGGAGCCAUGCUUUCCGAGCUUCUAACCAAUUGGACUAUCUAUUUAAAUAAGGUACUAUAUAAUGAUAUAGUAGCAUUUUUCUGUUUUGAAAGAAGAAGAAAGAAACCAUGAGGAGAGAGAUUUGAAACCGUGUUUUCUUCUGCAGUGUGCAGCUCUUACAAGUCUUCUGCUCAUUAUUGGCCUAAAUUUGGCUGUUGGAUUUCUGCCUCAUGUGGACAAUUCAGCUCAUAUAGGAGGAUUCCUUGCAGGGUUUUUCCUUGGUUUUGUUAUUUUAAUCCGCCCGCAAUAUGGUUAUGUGAACAAAAAAUAUGUACCGCCAGGACAUGAUUCAAAACGAAAAUCCAAGUAUAAAGGCUAUCAGUAUUUCUUCCUGAUCUUGUCAGUCAUUGUGUUACUUUGCGGGUAAGUAAUUCAUAAUUUUCUGAGUUAAAUUUGGAUACAGUGUUAAUGUAAAAAGUUUUAUACCGUCAAAUAAAUCACAACUAUUCAUACGUGUAACUUUAGAAGUAGUAACAGUUAAUGAUUUGACGAUUAUAAUUGAUUGACGACAGUGUAAAAAAUAUUUACAAUGACAGUGUAUAUGAAUUAAAUAGUUUCAUCUACUUUAACUUUUGAUGUAAUUGCUCAUUUGACAGAUAUGCAUAUGGCUUAACUACACUUUACAUAGGAAAUCCAGAUGAAGAGAUACUUUCCUUCUUAAGGAAAAUAACCCAGUUGAGUGAUUCAGGCUGAUCUUCAAGUUUUCAUGUACAAUCCAAAAUUGCAGUUUUCAUGUUAUAAAGGACCCUCCAAUUCUUUUGAUCAAUACAUGCACAUGAUCGUGAAUGCUUCUCUGAAUACUGGUUUGUACACUAUAUCCAGAAGAUGGUAUCAUCAACUAUACAUGUAUCUAUUUGGCUGUUUAUAUGGAUAUAGGAAAUUCCUAGUCUUUUGGUUCAAAAAAUGUUAUGUAGAUCCAUCAGCAAAGAAUAUUAUAUUUAUUCAUUUUUCGGUAGAAUGAAUAGUUCAUCUACUAGGGACAAGAGUUGAGGCUUUGGUUACAUUUAUUUAUUUGUCAAUGCAGAAAUAUAGAAAUUUAUUGGCAUGUUUUCUUGUGUAGCUACACAGCUGGUAAAUUUACUGCACUAGUUCGACACUUUUAUAUUUCGUGUAAGUUCUUACAAGUUGGCGACAUAUAGGAUUUGGGUCAUGUUUGAAAAAACAACUUAAUUAAACGCUUAUUAAAUAAAGUCAAAAUGUGUUUAUAUAAUCUAUAGAUAAUGAUGUAUAAGAUAUAAGAUAUUAUUACAAAAUGAUGUUCUAACCUUUCAUCGAGUUAAAGCUUAUAUCUUCUAUGCUUUACAGUACAUAUACAUGGAGACUUCAACUCAAAGAUUUGCAUAACUUGAACUCUCAAGCUUAACACGUUAUUGUUGUUACAGUAUUCAUUCCGAGAUGAUGCUAGAUUUCACAUGAUUCGGAGCGACCAAAAACCGUGUAACGAUUAUUUGCAACAUUAUCGUAAACAAAAUCCCUGACAAACCUGCAAUAAUCCGUUGCAUAUAUCAUCAACCUUGUUUCUCUUUAGCAAUGAAAUAACAUGAUAAAAUUGGUAAAGAACCUAUAAAAUAUACUAGUACUCACAGAGGCAUGAACUGAAGAAGAAACGCUAUCUGAGGAAAGGGCAAGUCUAUGUAUUCCAUUAUCUUCAGCACAGCUUCUGACUUUAUGUAUGAUCUAUAGAAUAUAUCACCAAGUCAUACAUUUCAGUACUAACUCUUCAUUUUAAUAACUUGCAAUCAUAAACUUCUACUUUCCUCGCAAAUAUAUUAUGCGUCUAUUUGAAUUGACUUAUUUGAACUUAUCUACUGACAGACAUAAGCACUUGUGAGUUAUGAUUGAAUAGACAUACCUGUUAUUUUCAACAAGUACAACACUUGAGAUAUCAUCAGGAGCUCUUCCUGAUCUUCUAAGUAACAUCUUACCAGCUUCACUCUGAAGAGCUUCAUAUCUAAUUGUCCUGUCAAAACCCAUCCCAAGUAACGAUAUACAUUAACUAUCUACUAAACAUAAGUAACUGUAUAUUUAAAUUGCGUCAACCAUCUAAAUUGUUAUCGAAAUUAUGUGUCAAAAUAACACAACUUAUAAAACAAACCAAGUAAGCAGCUCUGUAGCACCGACACCUCUGAUCAAAGGUGUGUCAGGUGUGAUUACAUUUAAUUAAUUCAUCUUUUCCAAAUUAUUACAUGUAUCGACAUGUUACUGUGUGAGUGUGUGGUGUCCGUGUUUCAUAGGUAAGCCUAACUAAUCAAGUUCUUUAUGUCACUACUAACUAAUUACUACAAUUAACACAAAAUAACUAAUAAGACCUAUUUACCUUUCACUCUAUCACUCUAAUGUAUUUAAAUUUUAAUAGAUUAACUACUAUCUAUGAAGCAUGGACACUCCUUGGAUUAGGCGUGUCCUGUGUCGGACAUGUGUCGGUGUCGGGCACUGACACGAUGACACUUAUAAUUACACUUAUAAUUACAUUGAAUUGUGUCAUUUUCUCAAAUGAUUAUCAGUGUUGAUGUGUUAGUGUCUGUGCUUCAUAUACUGCUAUACACCGACAGUGUAAAAAAAUCUACACAUGAAUCCAAUCAAAUGACAUCAUAGUGAUUAGAAUGAAAAGGAGAUAGAAAAUUUACUUAUUUCGGUCAUUGUCACGAACAAACUUGACACCACCAUUACACAAAUUGCAUACCCCUGUAUAUGUCAAAAUCAACAGAAACAAAUUAAUCAAAAACUUGCAUCGUGGAGACAUUUGUUCUAUGGAAAAUUGGAAGAAAAAUAAAAGUUUUGAUUAUUUAUUUUACCGUCAAAUAACAUGAUGGGUCGUUUGUCUUGGUCGAAGAAGCUUGAAGUUGCUUCCACCCAGUUAACGGCGUCGUUUCGGGGUUGUGAUAGAGUAGCAAAAGUCUUGACUUUUCGAGCACGCGGUGAGCAUGUGACUGAGUUCACGCGCCCAAUACAAGCAGGAAGAUGAAGCUGAAGAGCCAUUGAAGUGUUGUUACCUUCGAGUAACUCAAUGAAAUAUGUAACAGUUUUAAAUAUGAAUUGUUUUCUGUAAUUCAAUUUUAUUGGUGGCAAAGAAGCCAGCAAGGUUGGUUAUUUAUGGCAACCUUCGAUUUAUCGUGUUUAACUUUGAUUAGUGAUGAGAUUGUUUGGUCUCUUCAAGGUUUUGGAUUCUAACUCAUCGUUAGUCGGUUUAGUGGUGAUUAAGUUAAAUUUAAUAGGAAGAACCACAGUUCGAUUUCUCGCAAAUAUAAUCGAAGGAGACUGAAACUACUUGAUGUCAUAACUAACUCCCAAACCAAAUUAAACUUGUGAUAAAAAAAAAAGGAAAAAAUAGAGUCUUGGAUUCUAUCAUUUAUUUAGAGUAUGCAAUAGUAUUAAAAUUUUUAAGAGAAUUUGCCGUAGUAUAUUUAAAUCUCAUAAGGCUUCAAGGAUUACUUCGUUGCAAUGCAUCUCAAACUCCACUCAAUUGAGAGAUAAAUUUUGCCCAAUUGAAGGUUCAAAGCUAAGCCCAUACACCAUUGCAAGAACCAACUCUCAUGUACACAAGAGUCUCUAAUUAGAGUAAUUCUUUUAUGGGUACAAGCCAAAUAAUAUUUGCAUAGUGGCUAGAAAUUAUCCCAUUAAAAACUUCAGUCACUAUAUAUAUAAUGCAAUGUCAUGUCAAUUGAGCUAAGUUCACGGGUCGUAGAAUUAACCAUUUUAAAUACAAAUUAAUGGAAUUAAGUGAUGUUAUUCAAUUUAAAAGGAUGAAAAUGUUAAUUCUUAAAAAAAAAUUAAAAUAAAAUUAAGCAACCAUUAUUAUAAUUUCAAUGAUUAAAUAGUUCAUUUAUUGUCCUCAUAACAUAAUUAAAUUGGUAGAGACAUUACGUAUAAUAUAGAUAUUGGGAUUCGAACUCCGGUAGUUUCAUUUGUUCACGUAAUAUUUUUUUGACACAUAAAAAUUUUGUCUUAAAAAACCAGUUCAAAGAACAAUGUAUAAAUGAUGAUACUUCAAUCACACUUAAUUACUCUUAAAAAUUAUUUUUUAGUCCAUAAAAAAAUUAUUCCUUCAGAAGUCUUCCAUCAAAAUAUAUCAUUAUUUUUAGUAUAAGGUAUCACAUUUUCUUUUUGUCAAAAGUAUUCACUUCAUUUGAGUAUUUAAUUUAAUCAAUAGUAUUUGGCAAAGAUAUUCCUUUUCUUUAGUAAAGUACCAUAGGUUGGUAACAGUGAUAGUGACACCAUAAACCGAAUCUAUAUCCAAUGACAAAUUAGAUAUUGGAAAAAUUUGUCACACUGACGCUCUUAACAUAAUUAUAUCCAAUAGGAAAACAGAGCUAUUGAGAAAUACUAAUAAAGAAACAACGUAAAAAAAAAAAACAAAUCUUCUUAAAAAUAUUAAGAAACAAAUUAGAAAUUUUUUCAUUUGUUAGGUAAGAAAAUAAAUCUUAUUUUCUAUCUCAACUAAUAAAAAUGUUAAAAGAUAUGGGACGGGUAGCUCAACUGAUUAAGCUUUGGAGGUACAAGAUUCAAGUUUUGUGAUAAUAUUCUAAAUUUGUAAUAUACAAACAAUUUGCUUAUAAAAAAAAUGUUAAAAUUAUUAGGUUUGAAAUUAUAAUAGAAUUUCAAGUUUUCUUUUUUAUCGGUAUAAUUAGAGCUGUCAAAGGGGCCGGCCCGGUCCGGCCUGAAGGGGCCCGGUCAAAUAAAGGGUCCGCCCCAGUCCGGCCCGCUUAGUCCGACCCGAUAAGCAAAAGCCUACAUGACCUGAUGGGCCGACCCACUAAUUUUCAUAGUUUUUUUUUUUGAAAAAAAAAACAAUAUAUAUUAAAUUUAUGUUAUAUUUCUNNNNNNNNNNNNNNNNNNNNNNNAAAAAAAAAAGAAUAUAAAAUAAAUACAAUAAAAAGAUGAUAGAGUUAAAAUAAUCAUAUUCCAAGUUUUAUAUCCUUCGUUGUAAUUGCACAAAAAUAAAUUAAAAAUAAAAAUAAAAAGAUGAUAUGCUUAAAAAUAAGAAUAAAACAGAUUAUAGAUAGGAACAAAACACAAAUAUUCAAUAAAACAACAAAAAUAAUUAAAAAAAUUAUAUAUGAAUUUAUGCAUAAAAAUAGGACCAAAAUAUAACAAUAAAAGAUUAUACAUUUUUUUUAAAUAAUUUUUUUAAUUCUUCAAGGGGCCGGCCCAAAAGCCUGUGGGCCGGCCCAUGAAAAAGCCUGACUCGAUAAGGCCCGACCCCCCUUUUUAUGAAGUCCGGCCCGUGUAAAAUGAUAGGGCUAANNNNNNNNNNNNNNNNNNNNNNNNNNNNNNNNNNNNNNNNNNNNNNNNNNNNNNNNNNNNNNNNNGCUAAUGGACCAGUCCGAUAGCCCGGCAUUUUUUACAGUUCUAGGUAUAAUAGAAUUUCAAGUUAUUCACUUGCAUGGAUGACUUUGUAAUGACUAUUAUCAUUUUUUCUAUUUAUUCAAGGAAAAAAUAAGAAAAUAAUAAUCUUGCUAAAAAAAAACAGUAAUAAUGGAAAAUCUUGUACCAAAAAAAAUAUAGAUAAUGGAAAAUCUGAGUCAAAAAAAUAAAUAAUGGGAAAUCUUGUAAUAAUGAAUUCCUUAAAAAAAAUAUACUAAUAAUAAUGAAAUAAAAAUUAAAAAACGUUUGUUUGUUGUAAAAAAUUGGCAUUUAUUUGGUGUUUGGCUCUCUCUAUUUGUUAACCGGCGAAAACCAAAACGCAAAGAGAAGAGUCACUCACUCAACAAAACUGGUAGAACAACAACAACUUGGUGGUGUUAGCAUAAACAAGAAGAAGCAACAACACUCUCUCAGAAUCACAAGAAACAAAGCAAUGGGUUUCGUCGGUGACACCGUCGAUUCUAUCAAAUCUCUUCAGAUCCGUCAGGUCCUCACUCAGGGUGUUAGUCUUGGUCAGUUCCUUUCUAUCUCAAUUCAAUCAAUUUCAACAAACAAAAAACUCUCUUUACGUUAUCUAAGUUCAAUUUCGGAGCUACAUUCAUCUGGGUCGACGUUGAAACCGUUAAAUUUUUAAGCUUUAGAUGUAAAUUCUUCAAUUUUAAAUUUUUUGUAUCUUUAGGGUUUAUGUCAAGAAUUUGUAUUAUAAUCAGUUUUAAUGAUAUGGGGUAUAGUUUUUUUUCAAUUUUUUGAUGUGGGGUUUUGUAACACUCAUAUGUUAUAGAUAAAAGAUUUUUUUUUUCUUGUUCUGGUUUAUGGGUUUAGUAAUAAAUUGCAUUAUGCUGGUAGUAGUGCUUCAAUGUUUUUCUUGAUUGGUUUUUUCUUAGUAUAUGCAAUGAUGAUUUUGCUACAAGUAGUGUCAACAUCUUGGAUUUCUGGUCUAUUGUGUAAAUUGUAUUUAGUGAGGUGUUCUGUGUUUUGCUUCAGGCAUGAUUGUUACGUCUGCACUGAUAAUAUGGAAGGCAUUGAUGUGCAUCACUGGCAGUGAAUCUCCUGUUGUUGUUGUUCUUUCUGGAAGUAUGGAACCGGGAUUCAAGCGGGUAAGCCAAUCUUAUGCAUGGAAGUCUCGGUAUUUCUGUAUCUAAUAUUGUCCAGUGUCAUCAAGAAGAAAGAAGCUGCAUAUAAGUUUUCUGUUUCUUUCUGUUGCUAAUGAAUGUUGGCAUUUGCAGGGGGACAUCUUGUUCUUACACAUGAGUAAGGAUCCAAUUCGCACAGGGGAGAUUGUUGUAUUUAAUGUAGAUGUAAGUUCACCUCUCAUUUUUAUCCUCUAUGUUUUGCUUACUUCAAUUCAUAUCUAUAUAUCAGCAUUUUUUGAUUCAUUUUAUUUGACUUGAUACUUUCCUUACUGACAAAAUCUAUUGGCAUGCACCUUUUUUAUUUAGGGACGAGAGAUUCCGAUUGUUCAUCGUGUAAUUAAGGUAAGCUCAAUAUUUUGGUUGAAUAAAGUAUGUUCUUUCCAACAGUUGCAUCAUUACUGAAUGUGACUCUGAGAAGAAGUGCUUUGUAUCUUCUCAUGUGAGAGUCUCAGAUGAGAGGAUCCACACAUAGCUGUCUUCUGGCAGAAAAAUUUGGAAAAAGUGGUUCAUGAUGGUGGAUGGGUGAAUACAUUUCAUGAAUGUGUAGAGAUACCUAUUCAAACUGUAACUACAUAAGUUGCAUAACAGAUACCUCUGGUGUUGAUUGAACUACUUUCAUCAAUAUCCUGUCAUUGGCAAGUGACAACUUGUGGAAACGGGAGAGUAUCACGAAUAUUGAUAUAACAUGGCUUGAUCUUUUAUGUGUUGAAUGAUAAUUAAGUUUGUCCUGUUUGAGACUCUUAAUGCUUGAUCAUUUUAUAGGUACAUGAAAGAGGAGAUACUGGGGAGGUUGAUGUUCUCACAAAAGGUAGUUGCUAGUGCAGAAAUACUGACAAUACUGAUUUUAAGUUCUACAUUAUACAAAAUCCAAUCUUUUAAUAGUGAUUUUGAUUUUCAUUCUUUUCUCCAAUAUUAUAUUUCAUAAUUUUUGUUUAGUUUUCCAUUUUACAGUGUUUGUGUGUUAAUGUGAUGUAUUUCUGUCAUGUCUUUGGCAGGAGAUAACAAUUACGGUGAUGACAGGCUACUGUAUGCUCAUGGCCAGCUUUGGCUGCAAAGGCACCACAUUAUGGGUAGAGCUGUUGGGUAUGUAUAGCAUUUCUUCUAGACUUGAUUUCCAAACUUAUAUUGAAAAGGUCAUUCCUUCCUUGCUGUGACAACCUAUAUUGUUAAUUAAAAUAUAAAGAUUAAGGUUAUACGCUUUUAAGUCUCAAACUAUAAUAAGAAUGGGAUCUGUGACUGACAGUUAAGUUAUUAUACAUGAAUGACUAAUGCCUCUACAUGCCUAUUCAUGGAAUAUCAUACACUUGUUGGCCCUUCGAGCAUGAUAUAUACCAAGGGUUUAUCCUACAGUUUGCAUUCUGCGGUACUAUAUGCAUGUUCAGUUGAAAAUUAUUUUAUAAUAUGUUACCAUUGCUUGUAUUUUUCGAUGGCAGGUUCUUACCUUAUGUUGGUUGGGUGACAAUUAUCAUGACUGAAAAACCUAUCAUCAAGGUUUGUUUGCUUCACCGAUCAAUUUUAUUAUCAUUUAACUGAAUUGGUUGUUUUGUGUAUGUUUAUAGUGAAACAUGAUAAUCAUGAUGUUUUACUACGAGAUAAGUGGUGACCAUCAUGGUAGUUAAAAUCAGGAUUUUACCUAAAAUCGGAAAGGGGAAGUAAAAUCGUAAAUCGUACAAUCGUAACAUUAAUCGUAAGAUUAUACAAAAUUCAUAAAACUCAAAUAUAUGCAUAUAAAUUCAUAUAUGUGCAUAUAAAAUUGCAUAAGACAAAGAAAACCUUAAAUCACAUUUGAAUACUAUGUAAAUUUAAAUUUAUUAGCAUGAGAGUUUGAAGCCAUUUGGAAAUGAAACAGAAGAACGACAAGGGAGAAGUUUUUUUUGAGCCAAACGCAAGCAUGAUCGCUAAAUUGCUACAAGAUUUAUGUGUGUACGUAUAAUCGUUGAGGCCAAACAUAAUCGCAAAAUCGUAAGAUUUUACUAUUCAAAUCGGGAUUCCACCUGAUUCCACAAAAAUAAAAAUAGGAUUAUACGUGUAAUCAUAAUCGCUGAGGGCAAACAUAAUCGUAAAAUCGUAAGAUUUUAGGAUUAAAAUCGGGAUUUUAACUACCAUGGUGACCAUUUUAAAAGUGCAUAGCAUAGAUUUUGGGAUUUGACCCCUUAAAAGUGAGAGAUUCUCAUUAGUUGAAGUGAGGGGUCACAUCCCUUGAUGAGAAAAUCAAGGAAUUUGUUCAUAUGCAUGUAUUAUAUCACAGUCAUGUCUUUUGAUUUUUAAAUCAAUGGCUAUGAUUUUCCACUUUUCUGCAACUCUAUAUUAGAGCAACUAAAUCCUAUACUUUGAAUUGAAACUAGUAUGAAAUGUGCUAAACCUGUAUCUUCUUUGCAGUAUAUUCUCAUUGGCGCUUUGGGGUUGCUUGUGAUAACUUCAAAAGAGUAGCUGGUGAAUCCAAAUCAAACUACGGUCUGACCUCCAAGAGUACUAUGAGCAAAUGUCAUGCUUUUUUUUGAACUUGAAGGUGUCCUUGUGUACUAUUAACAGCAUAAUAUUAAGAAUUAAAUACAAAGUGAAUUUUAUAAUUUCUUAUGAUUGUUUGUUGGUUGAUUGAAAAUCCCCCUUAGUUUGAGUAUCUAUGUCUAUAUACUUGGUUCCACUUUAGGAGGAAGCAAAAUUGAUUCUAGAGGUUAGAACUGGUUUUGGUGUUUGAAUGUUUUUUAGUAGAAUCAAUUUUGCCUCUUAAAUGUAUUUUAACUUGAAGCUAGAAUAUGGUUUUGCCGCGCUAGUGGUUGUGGGUCAGAACUCAGAAUAAUGUCCUAUAUAUACACUUUAGUGACAAUUGAGAGUGAUCCUCACAACUCUUCUCCAUAUGGUGUUUGCAAUGCUCAUGACUAUAAAUGAAAACGAUGUCCUUGACAUGAAUAAUAGUCUAGUGCGAGUGAUUGAUCUCCCAACUCGCGUCCUUUGGGUUGAGAAUUGAGAUAUCUAAUUUCUAAAUCGUGUAUGGCAAUUUCUCUAGCCUGAUCGGCAUCUAAGGUGGGAACUGAUGCGCCUUUAUAAUCCAUACCACAUGAAUCUCAUCACACUCGUAACCACCAUUACACUCAUAUCUUCAUACUAAUCAAACAUCUUCGAUACACAUAAUCAGAUCACAAGACAUAAAACAUACUAGACACAGUUGAGAUAUUUACCUAUCCCAAUUAAAAGCAAUAAUAAUAAUUAGUACUUCAGCUGUUCAAAAAAUAAUUAAUACUUCAUAUUUACCUUACCAAUCAAUUGAAUCAUUAGAUUCAAUUGUGCAAGUGCAAGGGUGUCAACAUAAAACAUCUGUAAGUAAAAUUAAUUGAAAAAUCAUGAAAUGUUAUUAACUUUUGGAAUAAAAAGAAUAACUAUAACUAUUAUAAUGAAUUCCAAAAUCUCGACGAUCCACAUAAUACAAAAUUUGAUAAAAUCACAAUCCUCAAACAAAGUAGGAUUGAGAUGCCCUGGCUCUAUCAAACAAACCAAGACACAAUUUGUUAUUCUUCCAAACAAAAGGAAAGUAACUUGAAAAAUUAGCAGUAUAUAAUUUAAAAUGCUUCAAAGGUACAAACUAAUUUGAAAUGACAGUUAAAAUUGAGUUUCUCAUAUAGCAGCUUCCCUCUCCUAUCAGUAACUAACACAAAAUGAAACUACUGGACCAAUCUUUGUCUUUCGCCAGCAUCGUCGCAUUCCACCUGAAAAUAAUAAAAAUCAAGAUUAUGAUAUCAUGUUUAGAACUCCAUAUAACUUUCAAACAAUGAAGAAAAUUACUCCAAUAUGGAACUCAUUUAAAUUUUUUACACCAUACAGAACUCAAGCAGUUACAUCAGCAUUACUUUUUAAAAGUUACACUUAAAACUAACCACAACAUUACAACAGUGUGUUUGGCAUAUUUGUUUAUUACAACUUUUAGAAUGCAACUUUGGUAAGCAAACACAGAGCCAAAACUAUGUAAUAUUACGUCAAGCAAGGGAAAGGGAAGUCAAAAGGGAUUGACUUUGUGGUCAACAUACAAAAAUGGAGGCAUCAGCUCUAUUUUCAAACUGAGAAAAACAAAAUCUGUACUCUACCAAGUACCAACAUAUAUCUCGACAAUUCAGAGCAAUGAAAUUCCAGUUUGUAGCAUCAUUUAUUUCAAAUCAGUAACAGGAGCCUUCAAAUUAUAAUAGACUAUUGACAAUUGUAUAUAUAAGAAUAACAAUUAUGAUACACUAAAAUUCCCUAAAGAAGUGGUUGAGUUGUCGUACACAGAAGAAACGGAUUCACAGCUAGUUGUCGUACCCAAUAGCAUUUAAAAGAACAGAUAGUUUUUAUAGUUUAUACCAGGAAAAAAACAGUACUAAAUUACCUCAACGAGGACCCUCGUUUUCUUUGAUUUAGAAUCAAGGUCAUCCUUUUCAAGUUUCUUUGAAGCUAAAGUCGAUUUCCUUUUGGCUUUCCUUUGAUUAAGUGCUUUAGUUUCUUCAUCUUCACUGCUUCCGUCUGCAUUAGUAGAUGUCAUUAUUAUGUUAUUGCUUCUUAAAUGUUUGAAGUUUAAAAACAAAAAUCCAAAUUCACCAACAAAACAAGGUAAUGAUGAACGAGCAAAAUGAAAAAGAUGUCAAAUAACACACUUAACUAUCAUAAUAAUAUCAUGCAUAUAUUAUUCAGAAUACUUUGAAUCUUGGUUUCAGUUAUGCCAAAGCAAAUUACUUGAUGAGUGAAGAAAUAUUUCACUAAGCACUUUCAUUCAUAUAUUUUUUUAGCAUGAAAAAAAAUUAACCAUCCAUAUUGCAAAGCUUCUAAACUAAAUGUUACCAUUUUCAUCAUCGGUGUCAUUUCCCUGUGACUCGUGAAUUGAAAAUGCACCAAAAUCUUCAAUGUCAUCUUCCUCUUCAAGUUCAUCGUAGCCUUCUACAUAUUCUAUUUCUGCUUCCUGUUCAAUUUGAAAAGAAAAGAAGAAGAAAAAAUAAAUCAGAGUCAAUACAUUACCAAGUUAAGUAUCUAAGAAUUUUGAUUUAAACACAAUCCCACAACAGAGCAAAACGUAUUAUUAAAUAUGUACCUCUUCAUCCUCUUCAUCAGCAGGUUGAAGUUUCUCCAUAUCAAGAACUCUAUUGUACGCAUCAACAGGAUAGUUGUAUAUAUCACCUACUCCUUUUUGAAUGCGUUCCAGUAUCUCUACCUCGAUAAGCUAAGUAAUAUUCAAAAGCAACAAUGAGGAAAGCGAAGAUAACAUAUAAUUUAAUAUGCAUGAGUAACAUUAGGAUUAACUAUAACCUUUUCAGCCUCCUUCUGUUGUUGGUAAAGUCCAUUUUUAUGGCGUUCCACUAGCUCGUUCUCAAUAGCCUAAGUCAUAUUCAAAAGCAACAGUGAGGAAAGCGAAGACAACACAUAAUUUGAUAUGCAUGGAUAACAUUAGGAUUAACUAUAACCUUGUCAAUCACAGCCGCUCUUUCAGCCUUCGCUUCUCUUCUAGCUUCUCUCUUUAUCUCUUUCCUUGGAAGUGUUUUUAUUAUUUCCCUGUAAAACAACAAUAAACAUGAUAAAUCAGGCUGCUUUUGUGGAGAAACUGCUAUGAACUUACUUUCACCAAAGACAACCACCUAAAAUAUAGUAGAUCAAGGAGAUGAACUGUCACACAAAUGUAAAUUUAUAAUAAUAUUAGAUUAUUAGUGUAAAAAUUCGAGUACGCAAAAAAAUUGAUGAAUUUAAAAUAUCACAAGCAAUAUUACAGACACAUAAAUAGUAGGUAUACGGGUAGAAAAAAGGAUCAUAAUAUACAGAAUGUGAUAUCGUAAACAUCAUAUAUAAAAUCAAAUGCAAAAGUGAAAUCUUAACAAGAAGCAAGAGAGAAUUCAGUUUCAAACCUAUUUUUCAAAGCAAGUUUCCUCAUACGAAUCCGCGUCUGGGUCAUUUUGGUCAAUCGUUGUUUUACCUUGUGAACGAGAAGCUUGGGCCAAUACAUCUGUUAAUGCAGAAAGGUAAUGCAAGCAACCAAUCUCGACAAUUACGUGCAAGUAAAAUGUCAAACAUAUAAAUGUUGCAAAGACUACAUAAAUAAGCUGUACCAGAUGUUUGUCAAUGACUUCAAGUGCCUGCUCGUAAUUCCUAGGCAGCUUAACUCUUUCCCACAAAUCCUUUGGCAUAUGAGCUCUUUCAAUAGUCUUCAUGUAAAGGUAAAACACUCCUACAACACACAUUGCAAUUGUAUCAUUACUUGCAUUCUCUACCACAAAUUCUCCACCUAUUGCAUUUUCCAUUCACAAGGAUACAAAAUGGAUAAAUAAAGUGAAUGUCAAAGUCAAUAUCCAACAGGGCCUCAAUAUGUCAUUUUCUUCUCGUUAGUUCUCCAAAUAACCGAACUUUAACCUCGACUCAACCAAAGCAUGCAGUUCUUUUUAAAGACAAAUGUUAGUUGUUAGUAUAUGUAGUCAAACCUUGACCUCGCAAACCUUCUUCUCAAACUCCUUUGGAUGNNNNNNNNNNNNNNNNNNNNNNNNNNNNNNNNNNNNNNNNNNNNNNNNNNNNNNNNNNNNNNNNNUAUGUAGUCAAACCUUGACCUCGCAACCUUCUUCUCAAACUCCUUUGGAUGUCGGAGCUAAACUACUUGAGCUACGGGGCCUAAGCCCUGUAUAAUUACCAAAAAGAAUAAAUAAACUACUUGAGCUACGACAUGGAGACCAAAAGCAUGGAGUUUUCUUCUUAUGCCACAAACAUUUCAUAACUAUGUCUUAAUAUCUAGCUGAAAUCUAACACAGUAAAAAAGAUGUGAAAGCAGAAGUACCAUUGUCUUCACGGAUGGUGGCAUAGCGACUAUUAGCUAAAGGGCAGGAGCUUCGAUUACAAAUUCCAGUGACAUUGUAAGGGUUUCUACAAAAAUUGCCCGUCGUAAUUCUACAAACAAAAAAGAAGAAAAAAAAAGGUGUUAAAUCAUUUGAAACAACAACGAAAAUUGUAAUUGCUCUCAUAAAUUGCCAGACGUCUGUCAAAAUCCUCUCUCCUUCAAGCUAUGAAGCACGAACAAACACUCCUCAGUUUAGGUGUGUCCCUAUGUCGGACACGCAUCAUAUACCAACACAUAUGAUCACAUAAUAUUAUGUCAUUUUUUCAAAUUAUUAUUGAUAUUUGUGUCCGUGCUUCAUAGCCUUCAAGUAGCUCUAUUAGAGGUGUUGUUGUGUCACCUUUAAGUGACACCGUGGCUUGUCCAAGUUGAUGUCACACAUUGCACGGAACCCUAAACUUAAGUUUCAUAAUAAUUUAAGGUUUUAACCGCACCUGCGAUUCCAUGUGACGUGGACAAACCAUGGUGUCAUUUAACUGAUACAUCAUCACUCUAAACAAUUUGAGAGAUCAGAGAGCAAUUUGAUAUUUGGGGUCCCAAAUUGCUACACAAAAAUAUGAAAAAUGUGUUAAAAGGAAAGUGGAGUAUUUAUUUACUUGGUCAUGAAACUGCAAUGGUUGUGUCUGAUAACUUGCCAUAUAACCUCAUCAUGCUGCAUCUUUGGAAUAUAACUUUAAGGGCUCUUCUACUUCAACAAAUACAUUUUUUUGAAGAAAAGGUUAUUAACAGAACAAUGAGAUAUAUACAUUCAUUCAACAAAUACAUAGCAUGAAAAAUUCAACGGAAAAUUAAAUUCAACGAUUGAAAGGUUGAUCCAAUACCUAUGGAAGCUGCUAUCCUUGGCUUACGUUGGUAUUUUCGGUUGGUAGCUGUUUUCUGGGAACUAUGUCGUCCUUUUUCAGUGUGCAACCAUGUAGGUGUGGCUGAGGGCUGAUUGGGUUCACCGGUGCUGCGGCGACGGGAUGAAGUUUCGUUGAUUUGGGUUUAAGUAAUUUUUUUUUUUAGACAAGGGUUUAACUAAUUAUUUUUUUUAGGCAAGGGUUUAACUAAAAAAUAUGAUUUAUUUAAAAAAUUAAAUAAGUUUUGAGAAAAAAGAAUAUGCACAGGUUUAUUGGUCUAGUGGUAAGGGGUUUGGGUAAUAUGUUGUAGGUUUUGGGUUCGAUCUUUAGCCCAUUGUAAACAUAAAAAAAAAAUAUGCACAGUUUUGACAACCAAUACCUACCAUGUUUUCCGCCACAUCACCCUACUAAAUCUCACUUUCUUAAAAUGAUGUGGAAGAAUGUUUCAUUCUUAUUGGUUGUUAGUGUGAAAUUAAGAGGAGUGCUAGCAACACACUCUUUAACAAACACACUCUAACACACUCUCUUCUAUUGGUUAAAAUUUAUAUGAGUCUCAUAAAAGUUAUAUGGAUCCACAUUUUUUUAUGGGACCCAUGUGAAUUUCAACCAAUAAAAAAGAGUGUGUUGGAGUGUGUUUGUUAAAGAGUGUGUUGCUAGCAUUAUUCGUGAAAUUAAUUUACAUUGAUAAUGCGUACUCUUUAAACUCAUAAGUUUUUCAUCCUUCUAUCAUGAAAUUUACUCAUGUAUUUCUCACAUUUUUCGAUGACUUUCUGUAUUUAAACGGAUCAAGACUGUCUAGUUAGAUGAAGUCGUUAAUCAUUCACAAAAAGUUCAAUUUAUGAAGAACGUAAGAUUAUUUGAAGGUUUAAUAAAUCUCAAAUAAUAAGUUUCUACCCUGGAAGUUAAAUAAAUCAAGUCAACUAGAUGAAGCCUCAACAACUAGAAACAUCAACAAAGUUCAUGUGUGAAAUAGAAGUUGUUCCUCUUUUCGUUUUAAAAGGGUUUCGGUUCGUAUCGCAUCUUAAAUGUUAUAACCAAGACAUUUCAAUGAAUGAUAAAACUUUGCCAAUUAACAUCGAGAGUAUCUGAAGAUACACAAUGAAUGAUAAGAGAUGCUCGACUAUAAUUUUUGCCAUAACUUUGUAAGCAACAUUAUCCAAAGAAAUGACUCAAAUUUAUGUCAUUUUAGUCAAAUAAACACGCCCUUGUGAUCAAAGUAACGAUAAUCUCAUUACUAUGUUAGAUAUAUCUCAAAUUUCGGAACAACAAAGUAAGUACUAUAUGAUCAUGCAACUAAAUGUCACUAAAUAUUGAAGAAUAAAAGAUGCAAAUCAUCCUAUCAGGCUAUCCCAGUGGCUUAAAGUUUUGCAUGCUAAAAAGUGCUUUCCUAGUUUCUUCAAGGGUAAUUGGUUGGUUCAAGUUCAACGCCAAACAAACCAUUAAAAAAAAAUUGUCCAUUCGGUCUUCUAAGUUUAACUCAGCUGAUAGAAACAUCGUAUAUAUUAUGUAGGAGUUGGAGUUCGAACCGCGGACACUCCACUUAUUCACCUUUAAGGUGUAAUUUCAAGCCACUAGGCUGUUAGACAAAAAAACUGUCCCUUAUUUCAUUCCUUAACUAAAAAUUGUUUUAAUUUUUUCGCAGGGACUAAAGUAAGUUUUCAUUUACAGGCGCGUAUAAUUUUUUAUUUUUUUUUUAUUUACAAUGAACUGAGAAUCGAACUCAGAACAUAUAACAUACUAUCCAAACCCCUCACCACUAAACCAAAUCCAGUGGCUUAGAAAAAAAAUUAUUAAAAGAGAUUAAUCUCUCAAAUUGAUCUCAAUUGAAAAAUUAGUCUCCACAAAUUCCAGAAUACAUUAUUUAAAAAAAAAAAAAGCCUUUUCAAUCCUAAUUAAAUAAAUAAAGUGGUCUAAUAAAAUGCUGAAUAUCCAAAGUAUCAUUAUCAAUUUAUCAAUCCCCAAUUUCACUGGUUUAUUUUUUAUUAAAAAAAGUAUAUUAAAUUAAAUAUUCAUAUUCAUAUAUCUUCAUUCAUUUGGUUUACGGGUCAUACUUGUCAUUUAAUAAGUAAAACAAAAAGAAAUGAAAACCCAGCGAUGAGAAAAUGGGGGAAAAGAAAUCCGAGUUCAAUCAAACGGUGGCGCUUCUUCGUUCAUUCAUUCAUUCCCUAAACCCUAUUCCAAUCAAAUGCACUUCAACCACCGCAACCACCGUCACCACAACCACCACCACCGUCGUCGUCAUUGAGCAUGAUCCUCUCUCACUCUCUCCCUGAUCAUGCUACUGCCCUCUCUGCGAUCCACUCGCAGAUUCUGCAACAAAAACUUCUAUUCAUCUACCUCCGCCGCCGCCGCCGCCCUUAAACCCUCACAACCACCAAUUCUCCAAAUUCUCAAAUCCGAGCGGGACCCACACAAACUCUUCCAUCUCUUCAAAUCCAAUGCAACCAACCGUCUUCUCAUCGAAAACCGUUUUGCUUUCUACGACACCGUUUCACGACUCGCCGGUGCUAAACGAUUCGAUUACAUCGAACAAUUACUUGAACAACAGAAAACCUUACCUCAAUCGCGCCGCGAAGGUUUCGUUGUUCGGAUUAUUACAUUAUAUGGAAAAGCUGGUAUGAUUCAACACGCUCUUGAUACUUUUUAUCAAAUGCACAAUUUUAAAUGUGUUAGAACGGUUAAAUCUUUCAAUGCUGCUCUUAAUGUUUUGGUUCAGACGAGGAAUUUUGAUUCUGCUGUUCAGUUUAUUGACGAAGUUCCGGAAAAUUUUAACAUUAGGUUAGAUGUUUAUUCUGUUAACAUUGCUAUUAAGGCUUUUUGUGAACUUGAAAAGCUUCAAGAGGCUUAUUUGUUUAUGUUAGAUUGUGAGAAUAAUAAGGGUGUUAAGCCUGAUGUUGUUACUUACACGACUCUUAUGUCAGCGUUUUAUGAGCAUAAGAGAUGGGAGAUUGGUAAUGGAUUGUGGAACCGUAUGGUGUUGAAGGGUUGUAUGCCGAAUCUUCAUACUUUUAAUGUUCGGAUUCAGUUUUUGGUUACGGUUAGGCGAGCUUGGGAUGCCAAUGAUUUGAUGAGUUUGAUGCGGAGAAUUGGGGUUACGCCUGAUGAGAUUACGAUAGUUUUGGUUAUCAAGGGUUUUUUUCUGGCUGGUUUUCCUGAUAUGGCAGUGAUGAUUUUUUAUGGGUUGCGUAGGAAGGGUUAUAAGAUUAGUGCUAAUAUUUACCAGACAAUGAUUCAUUAUUUGUGUAGGAGAGAUGAUUUUGAUCAGGCAUACAUCAUGUGUAAAGAUAGUAUGCGAAAAAAUUGGUUUCCGAAUGUAGGUACCGUCUUUAUGCUACUGGAAGGCCUAAAGAGAUUUGGGAAGAUUGAUAAAGCGAAGGUGAUUGUUGCGUUGGCCGAGAGGAAAAAACCUCCCUUCGAUUCUGGCUAUUUGGCUUCAAUGCAGUCCUUGUUAUCUGGGCAGUGAAGUUAGUGGAUUAGGGAAGUUGGUUGAAUUUAGUAGGGCAACGACCCAAACGGAUCUCAUAUUCUUUGUAUUCCAUUCAUUUGUACAUCUUGAAUAUUUAAGUAACAAGCCUGAAAAUUUGAUGGCAUCUCAUUUAUACAAGCUGUCAAACACUACUUAUUUCCACUCAGUUAGCUCUUUGUACCUCCCUGAAUAAUAUUUCGGCAAAGAUGGUAUUUCAGAAGGCAAAUACCAUAUAAACUCUUGUAAGUUGUUAAAUACUCUUACCUCUUCCACACACAUUACACUGUUUUUCUUUUAUUACUGUCAUUGCAUACAAAUCUUGCCCGGUUAUGAAAGUUCUACAUGUAAUUGUUUUCUAUGUCUUUCAUUAGAAAAUGCAUUUCUGUCUGUUGAUUUAUUCGUGGAUCCUUUUAUGAGAUUGAUAGUAAUAAAUCAAAUAUUCAUUUCAUUUACAAUGAAUGGAAAAUUUAGAGUGGAUUUUGGAUUUCUAGUGUUUAAGGCACUUGUAUAUCUUUCAAAUCAGUUCUUAUUUGUUUUGGAGGAAAAUAAUAUUUUUAUGUACGCACGCAUGAAUAUAAAUGUCAUCAUAUGAAUUCCAAUUUAGGCAUAGUUGUUUGUUUUAAGAUAGUUACAGUAUACUAAAUAAUUUCAGAAUCAUGGUCGGGAACACAAUACUCAUUUUUAAUAAAUGAAGUCUAAUAUCCCUUUUGAUAUUCUAUUUUCCAGACAAAUUGCAUUUUUGUUAUUGACAUGCCUGCUGGUUUUAAGUUCUUUUAUAUUAUCUUAUUCUGGUAAUGUGCUGUAGGUUAACUUGUAGCUCCACUACUCCCUCAUUCUUGAUAUGUCACCUUUAGUACCGUUCAAACCCAUUUGUAUGAAUAAUUAAACAUCUAAGUUAGUUACUGGAUGAUGUGUAGAUUUAACAAUUGGUGUUUUAUGCCUUGGUAGAAUAUGAAGUUAAAUUAGAAUUAACCCUCAAUACCUAUUUCUCAUUGAAGUGGAAAAGGAAAAGCGUUCUUGUCAUGAUCUGGGAAUUUCUUGAAGACUUGAAGUACUUUGAUUUGCAAUUUGGGUCUUGUGUAGUGGAGAGCGGAUGUCUUGAUGUACAGUGAGCACCCUUUUCAGAUUCUGAGGCUGUCUGGAGGGCUUCUUUCGGCACUGGUAUGCACAUGGUUCAAUGAAGUACUUGUGAAAGGAACUCGUUUCUACAUAGUACAGAGGCAGGUUUCGGCUUUCGGACAUGGAUCUUAUUUUCUUAUGCGUAGGAUUGAAGGUGGACAGCUAAGUGCACCCUGUUUAAAGGUAUCCUAUUAUGUUUAUGUUUCCAUUAAAUCUUGUUGAAGGAAGCAAUCUGUUUGUUCGCGGAGCCAAGUUUGGUUGAACUGCAUUGGAGAAAUUGCAUCAGAACUACUGUGAAAGGGUGUAUUGGGAAUAAAUGAACGGGAAGGGAGAGAGCAUAAUUGCAUCGGAAGGCAAAAUUGAGCUUAAAUUUUGUGAUUAUCCAUUGGCAUGAAACGUUUAGUACAUGACCAUGGUGACAUUGCUGUUUCACAUCACAUGGAUAUGAUGUGUUGACUUUCCCGUUGAUUGUUUGCACCGUUCUCUGCUAACAGCGCGAACAAUUUUGACUGAACAACUAUGCAGAUAAAGAGCAUUGUACAGAAAGAGUAAUGCUUCAGAGCUAGGAAAAAAUACCAGAAUUUUGACAGAAUAUGGGUGAUGUGACAGGAAUUAAGGUUGCUGGGUGUAAUAGAGUGGUAAGGAACAUGCCUGCCUAUCACUUAAUUUUGAUAAAAAGGAUUCCAACAUUUUUCUUUUCCUAGCUUCAUUCUUUAUUCCUCUUUGGAAAGCCUAUAGUGGCAAGUUUAAACCGUUAUUCUUAUUAAUAAUUAUUUUUUAAAAUCAUCAAAAGUUCUUAUCAUUUAAAUUAUAUUUUUCUCACCCUGAUUUAUUCCUAGUGGCUUUAGUUUACUGAAGUCUUUGUUAUCAAUAAACCAACAUACUGUAUUUGGAAUACUUUGUGCCUUUCAAGCUUCAUUGAUGAUCCCCUAGAAAAAACACUUCAUUGAUGAUUCCAAAUUUAAGGAACUAAACGCCAUUGCUUGGGUGGGUGGAUAGAGGUAGUCAUUGAUGAUUCCAAUCCAAAUAGUACAACAUUAACUACCGUGUUUUCAAUUAUAAUUUUUGACUAUUUAUUGUAAUAAAUAGACAAAUAGUUACAAUAUGAUAGUGAACAGCCAAGAAUGUCGUCAUAGUUUUGUCAAAAUACAAAAGAGCUCAGAGUAUCAUAUAAAAGAAAACAGUUAGUGUAAUUAAUUUUAUAAAAAAACUGCAAAGUUUCUUCCUAAAAGUCUUUCUUAUAUUCUUUGAACAUGAAAGUAAAGGAUGUGUGAGGGACAAAUAUAUGUUCGAACAUGUGGCAUUGCUUAAUAUUAUUUGAGUGUUUAAUUCUUCAAUCUUUUAACGAACUGUGCCUGUUUGAAUUGACAAAAAUUACAUUUUGAAACUUCAAUAAAAUUAUGGUGUCACAAUGUUUUCAAACAUUAUGCGGAGAUAGCACUUUAGUUACGAAAUUACGAAACAAGUCUAGAGGAACAUCCACCCAUGGCAUAAAGCCAAAGUAAAGCAACAAAAAAAUCGAGCAUAUGGCAAACAAAGUCUAUAGUCUAUACACUAGUAGCAAGAACUAGAAGAUAUGUAUAUUUAUGUGCAGAUUCUUUAAAAUUAUGGCUGAGAUUCACAACCAACGGAGGUUAAGAAGAGUAAUAAUUUCCAGAUUGAGAUUCGCUAGAGUAAAGUUUCACACAAAUUUUACACAGUUUUAAAUUUAGGUCAUUAAUUAUAAAUUAGACAGUGCAAAUUAAUUCUAUUACAACAGGCAUGUUUGAAAUCGGACGGUCGGUCCUUAUAUACGACUAUGUGCAAAAUUACAACAGGCAAUUUUUUCGAUAAUUUCCCAUGAGAGGUUAAAGAAAAGUCGCUUCAGUGAAAAUAUUAAAUUUAUAAUAUAAGAUGAUUCUGCACAAUAUAAAAUACAAAAUUGAGAAGAAAAAAAUACAAUGUCACUCUAAAAUAAUUUAACAUUAUCGACGAAUGUAUGUUGUCACGUCAUUCCACUUGUUUAAUAUGACAAUAAAAUUUUAAAUCAUUCAUGUUGCUUGUUGGUGUAAAAUUAAUUUACACCGACGGUGUGUUUUUAAAGUCUACAAAUUAGGGGUGAUCGUAUUCGAACCAAUCCAAAAGUAAAAUCACAAUCUGAACCAAUCCAAAAGUAAAAUCACAAUCCGAACCAAUCCAAACUGAAACCACAAAAAAUCGCAUUUAGUUUUAACCUCACAGAUCAUUUUUCUUCUAAAUCGCAUGAUUUGAUUUGGUUUGCGGUUUUCAUUUCUUAAAACCGAACCAAACCGUAAUACUUAACUUAGCUCUAUCAACUCAAAUUGAGUCCAUAAAACGCGAUCUAGAACUAUAUUGUUGUUAUUAAAAAUAGGUUACUACAUAUAUGCAAUUUAUGUAUAUGCAUAUUGUAUCAUGUAAACAAUAAAAUAAAUUAAAAUUUUCUAUGUUUAUUUUGUAACAAGUUGAAAAUAUUGUCAUAUUUUUUAUAUCUUGAUAAACCUCACAAACCGAAUUAAUUCUAACCACAUUUGUUUGGUUUGGUUUAGUUUAGAUAACAUUUUAAAAACCAACCAAACUAAACCGAACCACAUACAUUUUUUUUCUUGCGGUUAGUAUGACUACUUUUAUGCUCAAACCAAACCGCACCGCGAACACCCUACUACAAAUUAUGCUGCUUCAUUCAUGCACGGACAUGGAGGUUAUUUUCCUCUUUCCCACCAAAACAGAGAAUUAACAAGACAAAAUGUGACUUCAACUCUUCGCGUUUAAUAUUAACACUCUCAAGUCUCACUGAACCUUGCAGAAACCCAAUGUCAAAGUCCGUUCUCUCUCGAAUCAAACCUCAUCACCUCCCAAAACCUUCACCAUCUUCCUCUUUACCCCCACGCAUCAAAAACCUCGUCAUCGACGUCAUCCAUAUCCUCAAAACCCAUCAAUGGCAAGAUUCUCUUCAAUCCCGUUUCGCCGAAUCCGAUAUCAUCGUUUCCGACGUUGCCCAUUUGGUCAUUGAUCGAAUCCACAACCCUGAACAUGGUUUAAAGUUCUUUAACUGGGCUUCCACAUUACCCUUUUCUACUCCUCUCAAUGGUGUUGCUUAUUCUUCUCUUCUCAACCUCAUGGCAAAGUACAGAGUAUUUUCACAGGUUGAAAUGGUGUUAAACAAUAUGAAAGAUCAAAACUUGAAACCUACUCUUGAAGCAUUGAAUAAUGUUAUUUGUGUUUAUGGUGAAUAUGGGUUGGUUAAUAGAGCACUUGAGAUUUUUCAUAUGGUUUGUGAAUUGUAUAAUUGUUUUCCAUGUGUUGUUGCUAAUAAUUCAUUGCUUAAUUGUUUAGUGAAAAAUGGGAAAGUUGAUGUUGCAUGUCAACUGUAUGAUAAAAUGCUUCAGAAGGGUGACGAGGAUGGUGUCGAUGUUGUUGUUGAUAAUUAUAGUACUUCUAUAGUGGUGAAGGGUUUGUGUGAUCUUGGGAAGGUUGAGGAAGGUAGGAGAUUGAUUAAUGAUAGAUGGGGGAGAGGUUGUGUUCCACAUGUAGUGUUUUAUAAUGUCAUCAUUGAUGGGUAUUGCAAGAUGGGUAAUCUCAAAGGUGCUACGAGAGUUUUCGAGGAACUGAAAUUGAGAGGGUUUUUGCCGACAUUAGAAACUUAUGGUGCUUUGAUUGAUGGAUUUUGUAAGGCUGGGAAGUUUCAAGUAGUUGAUCAGCUUCUGAAAGAAAUGAAUGUGAUGGGAUUGAAGGUUAAUGUACAAGUGUUUAAUAUUAUUAUUGAUGCUCAAUACAAGCAUGGUUUGGUUGAAGAAGCUGCUGAGACGAUGAGAAGGAUGACUGAGAUGGUUUGUGAGCCAGAUAUUACAACUUAUAAUAUUCUGAUUAAUUUUUCAUGUAGUAAUGGAAGGAUUAAAGAAGCUGAAGAGUUCAUAGAGAGGGUGAAAGAAAGGAGAUUGCUGCCUAAUAAGUAUAGUUAUACACCUCUCAUGCAUGCUUACUGUAAACAAGGGGAUUAUGUUAGGGCAUCAGAUAUGCUUUUUAAGAUUGCUGAAACAGGAGAUAAACCGGACUUGGUUUCGUAUGGAGCUUUUAUCCAUGGAAUUAUUGCUGUUGGGGAAAUCGAUGUUGCACUGAUGGUCCGGGAGAAAAUGAUAGAGAAGGGUGUAUUUCCUGAUGCUCAGAUUUACAAUGUUUUGAUGAGUGGUCUCUGCAAGAAAGGAAAAUUUCCUGAUGCCAAACUACUAGUUUCAGAAAUGCUUGACCGAAAUUUACAGCCUGAUGAAUAUGUUUAUGCUACCCUGAUAGACGGGUUUAUUAGAAAUAAUGAACUUGACAAGGCAACACAGCUUUUUGAAGUCGUAAUGAGUAAGGGUAUAGACCCUGGCAUUGUGGGGUAUAAUGUCAUGAUUAAGGGUUUAUGUAAAUUCGGAAAGAUGACUGAUGCUGUAUCAUACUUAAAUAAGAUGAAAAUUGUGCAUCAUUCCCCUGAUGAAUACACUUAUUCCACUGUUAUAGAUGGAUAUGUAAAGCAACAUGACUUAGAUAGUGCACUGAAGAUGUUUGGACAGAUGAUGAAACAGAAAUACAAACCAAAUGUGGUUGCCUACACCUCCUUGAUCAAUGGAUUCUGCAAGAUAGCAGAUAUGAGCAGAGCUGAAAAAGUCUUCAGAGGGAUGCAAUCUCUUAAUUUGGAGCCUAAUGUUGUCACAUACACUACACUUAUCGGUGGUUUUUGCAAGGCCUGUAAAAUCGAAAAAGCAGCAUCCUUUUUUGAGUUAAUGCUGAUGAGAAACUGCCUUCCAAAUGAUACUACAUUCCAUUACCUCAUAAAUGGUUUAACAAAUAUUACAGACAGUACACAUCUUAUCAGAAAAAACAAGGACAGAUCCUUGAUUUUGGAUUUCUUUGUAACGAUGAUAUCAGAAGGAUGGAGUCAAGUGAUUGCCGCAUAUAAUUCUAUUAUUGUUUGUCUUUGUGUACAUGGAAUGGUUGACACUGCCCAAUCCUUGCAAACUAAGAUGACGAGUAAGGGUUUUCUUAUGGAUUCUGUAAGUUUCAGUGCCCUGCUACAUGGCGUAUGUCAAACAGGAAAAUCAAAAGAAUGGAGGAAUAUUAUAUCCGGUGAUCUGAAUAAGAUCGAAUUCCAAACUGCUUUCAAGUACUCCCUGAAAUUAGACAAAUACCUGUAUGAGGGAAGGCUUUCGGAGGCUUCGUUUAUUUUACAGACCCUGAUUGAAGACUCCAUGCUUUCUGAUCAACAAAACAAAGAUCAAAAAGUAACAAGCUAGCAGUAAAGCACGGAGUAAAGAAAUUCCCAAACUUCAUUUGGAAACUCUACGUAGAUAAAGGUUAAUCAACUCAGCAGUCUCAUAUACCUCGUAUAUGAAUCGAGUACAAAAUGAGGUUUCUAUGCUCGGUGACAGCAUGCGUGAAGAGACGAUCCAUGUUAUCUUUUGCCAAGCAUUUUGUGAAGAUAAUGCCAACUUUUUGCCAAGCAUAAAUGUUUACCGAAUGCUUCCAAGUACAGGAGAAAGCUACUUGAUAUGAAUUGCACAGUUGCAAGACAUAGAUACUGGCAUUACAGUUUUUAGUUUCCUCCGAGUGGUAGCAUGAGGGGCUGCUCUGUAUUAUUUAUGUUCAACAUGACACACCCAUACUAAUAUCUUGGCAGCUGCGCCACAUGGCAAAGGAGAUGUUGCAGCUACAGCAACAUCAAUUAAUUUUACAGUCCAAGCAUGGAAUAGGGAUAUGCUACAAAGUCUAGUAAAAGAGGUGUUGGAUUUAGCUCCGCCUUGGCAGCUAAUUGGAUGGUAUGCAUGGAUUCUCAUUUUAAUAAGGAAAUCUAACUGAGAAGGGACCUGUCAAGUUAUUUGACAGCAAGAACUGAGCUAAGAGCAGAGAAUCAGAGUUGGUCUGCUACUCUUUGAGCUCCAGCCAAUACUUGGAUCCUUUGAAGGCAUGCGUGGGAGAGUCGGUCUGCUUUGGUUAAUUAGUAGAGAUGUUAGCUCUUGAUCAUCCCAAUAAGUUUGGUUGGAUUACAUGAUGAAGUAUUCUACUUUGAUUCCAAACACGAAGCAUCUCUUCUGUAUAUUAAGCAUUACUAAUUAAAAGUUUAAGAUAACUUUGAAAUAGUUUGAGUAACAACUUUUUUGUGGUACAAUUUCAGUAUCAACUGUGCUAUCUAUUUUUAUUUUACCAUGUUGUAUUCAAGCUAGAAUUGUUGCGAAAGAUUUCACCAAAAAAAAAAAAGAAUUGUUGCGAAAGCAGCAUAAAUCACUCUUUGUUAUUGUACUUUGUAAUGUAGCAAACUAGAGAACUAGCAAAAUAGAAAACCCUCUGUUUUUAAAACAUUAGCAUCUUUUUUUUCUUUUUUNNNNNNNNNNNNNNNNNNUUUUUGGUUGAAAACGUUAGCACCUUUACUUGGUCGUUUAGUAAUAUUUUACAAAAUUAUAUGGACCACUUGAAAUUUAUGAUCUAUUGUUGAAGACAUGUGAGCUGAUUUGUAUUAAACCCUUUUGAUAAAAGGAUUUAUUACCAUCAACAGGUCAUAAAACUAAAGGAUAUUGUGCAGAAAUCCUUUUGAUAAGAUUUUUUUUUGUUGUUCACUUAUGAUGAAA
rnacentral:lncRNA from 1 species